rnacentral:lncRNA from 1 species
CCCUUCCACUUUCUUCUUCAAUAACAUCUCUCAUUUUCUCCGCUCACCUCCAUUUUGAAACACCACCAUGUCGUCGGAACACCACUAAAAGACACCUAAGACUUGCAAUUAGUAUCUUUUUAAUUUUUAAAUCAUUGCAAUUAGUAUCACUACAAGAGGGCAUCAUUGAUGCGAAUCCAACCCAAAAGGAAUCGCACAAGCAUGCCUCUCACAGCUCUUAGAAAAUUGGACAAAAAAAAAACGUGCAUAAAGUUCAGCACACUGCCGCAACAAAUUUGAAGACAACAAGCACUGUCGCAACAAAUUCGAAGACAGCAAGCAUUGCCGUAAUAAAUUCGAAGGCAACAACCCCAC